rnacentral:rRNA from 1 species
CAAUAGCGUAUAUUAAAGUUGUUGCGGUUAAAAGCUCGUAGUUGGAUUUCUUCCAGGGGCAGCCGGUCCACACUACGUGUGCGUAUCUGGUUUGACUUUGGAAUCCUCUUGGGGAACGGCUCUGCGCUUAAUUGCGUGGACCGGUAUUCAAGACUUUUACUUUGAGGAAAUUAGAGUGUUCACGGCAGGCAAUCGCCCUGAAUACAUUAGCAUGGAAUAAUAAUAUAGGAUUUCGGUUCUAUUUUGUUUGGUUUCUUAGAGCUGAAAUAAAUGAUUAAUUAAGGGACGACUUGGGGGUCGAUUCGUAUUAUUCACGUCAGAGGUGGGAAUUCUUUGGAUUGUGUUACGACGAACUACUGCGAAAG